GGGCAUAUGGUGUAGGGGUUAUCACGUUCGCUUUGCAUCUGGGAAUGCGAAACGUCUCCGGUUCAAAUCCGGAUUUGUCCA